CUUGGUGCCGCCGGCAGCGGGCUGGUUUAGUGUUACCCCGCCCUCCCUGCCUGUGUCACGACAUAUCCCGGUGGAGGGCCUCGCGCCGUGACAGCUCCGCCUUUUCCCGCCUGCUCCUCCCGUGCAGCGUUAUCAUGGGGCCGUAGGCUCUCUGUGGUUAAUGGUGACACGAGUGUAUUCUCUCAUGCCAGGAACCAGGGCUUCCCCCGAGUCAUGAUUUCUUUUGAAUGCUGGCUUACAUAAGAGAAUAAGAACGGCCAUCCUGGGUCAGACCAAGGGUCCAUCUAUUUCAGUAUCCUGUCUUCUGACUGUGGCCAAUGCCAGGUGCUUCAGAGGAAAGGAAUAGAACAGCAGUGCCUACAUUUUCCACAUGGGUCCACAUUAGGCUGGGAGCUAUGUACAUGCGUAAUAAUGGACAAUCCCCGUCCUGAAGAACUUACUGUCUGAUUUGAACAAGAUACAAAAAGUGAGUUUAACAAAGGAAAGAAGGGAAGGGAGAAUGAGAGUAGAAAAAGACGAUCAUAUGGCUGGAUAGUUAAGAAAUUGCACACUUCUGGGUUCCAAAUCAUUAAAAAAAAAUCCUAAAUGAGGUAUUGUUGACUGACACACACCUAGCUACAGUGGCUGGAUGGUCUCUUCUAAGCAACACAGUAAACUGGGUCCUGAGGAAGGAUGUGAAGGAGGGAAGAGUAGUUGUCUUCAGACUAGUUCAGGAAAGGGAUUCAGGGAUAUCCUCUAUUGUGAACAAGGUCACAAAUGCAAUACUGUAUUGAUGGGGGACCAUAAAAGUACCUAAAUAAACUUAGUCCAAGGAAUAGCAGCUUCUUCCAAUUCUUGUAACUUUUUCUAGAGUAGAUGUAUGGUAAAAUGGAAAAGACCUAAUAUACUGUAUUUAGAAAUUGUUCCAUUUCAGAUUAAUUGGUCUUCUGCUUUCUUACCAGUAGAUGACUUUAUUCUGUAGAUUUCUAGCAAACACAUGAUGGGCCAAUUUUAUAUAAAAUAUGCAGAACUACAAUUCUCAAUGCUCUGGCCCAGAUGCUUAUAAACCCUGUAAUCUAAUUCCUUUUGUUAGGUGUGUCCACCAAGUAGGAACUGCAGCCUGUCUGUGUGCAAACAUUUAACAAACAAUUUGUAAACCAUUAAAGUAGUGCUUACAUGCUUGAAUAAGGAAAUGCUCAGCAAACUUGACCCUGGAUUAACAAAUAAAUUCUCGAUGAAUUUGAGAAGAGUCUUUGAGAACCUGAAUGUGUGGAAAUUUGUUUCAAAUUCUUUGGGAGUGAUCUCUGAUGGAUGUCUGUCCACAAAAGAUGUCAAGGAACCUAUGGUGAGGAAAACUCAAACAUCUAGUUCUUUGAUUUAUCUGUUUUUGUAAGAAUGUAAAAAGAAUUGUUGCCUUCCUCCAGAGAACUCAAAGUAACAAAAAUUAAGACCUUGAGGUAAUCACUAAGGUAGCAUUCCAGUUUCGGUAUUUGCCAGUGUCUGCCUAUUGGCUUUGAGCCAUCUUCUGUGAGACAGUUAAUUGCUUGAGUAAUGCUCUGACUAGUUCAGAUUUUACGUUUUGGUCUGUCAUGUGGCACUGAGAACCCUGGCCACAAAAAUAGCCAUUUGCUUGGAGACAUCACAUCUUGUCACAAUUAAACAGAACACAGUAGCAUGUUGCUGCAAUGAACUUAACAGUCUAUUAAAACAGGAAGAGAAUUUUUCGUAUGGAAAAAGAUUAGCAAUAUAGGUUGUACCAACACACUUUGACAAGUUAGCUGUUUAAAAAGCUAGGGGAAGUUCAGGGCUAGUACAAAACAGGAGUCAAAGUGCAGCGAUUCCUCAAAAUCAGAAGUGGAAAAGACCUGUUGGGCCACUUUGUUCAUCUCUCCGUGCUACUGCAGAGUGGCUCUCUGUGACAUCAAAUUCAAGGCCUGAGCUCCCAGUGCUGACAGGGGCUGGCAUCUUCUAGAGACGAGCUAUUUAGUUCCUGAAAGAGGGAGCAUUUCAAAUAAUUUUCAAAUAAACCUGAAUGGGCAAAGUUCAAUGUGAUAUUGACAGGCUACUCUAAGGAUUGUAUUCAGCUGUCCUCAGACAGACAGUGAUGCUGCAGAGCCUAUGAGGAUGACAGGUGGAAAACUGAGAUUCUGCAGGAGUUGCACAACUAAAGAACAUAGACUGCGUGCAAUAGCUCACUUUUAUAAUAUUUAGGCAGUUACCAGGUAAUUGGUAUGAUGCUACCAUAUAAGUAGUGCAGUGGUUUUUGGGUACUUGAAAUAGCUCCCCUUAGGAGCCCCAAUAAUUGGAGAAACACCUGCUCCCUCAUUAAAAUACCAAUGGUACACAGCUGCAUCUUCCUCCAGCACUCCCCAGGAUCCAAUUGUUUUGUAUAUGUACCAUUCACAGUAUUUUAAUCACAAAUGGAUUAAUCUUCAGAGCAUUCUUAUUGGGUAGUUAACUAUCCCAGUGGUUCAUUCUGUCUGUUCAGAAUUGCAAAUAUAUUCUUUAAUCUGACAACUCAGAGUCUGAGCCCCAUACUGCAAGGUGCCAAGAGUGGCCUGGAGGAUGCUGGGCACCCUCAAUGCUCAAUGUGUUAGAUAAGACUUUGGAAAGUCAGUGGGACCCUUUGUAUAUAUAUCUGUGUCCAAGUGAAUGAACAAUGGGAAUCAAAGGCCUAGAUUCCUACUGUGACUCAGGAAGCUGUUAGUGCCAACUGCAGAGAGCACAGGGGGUUCAUAGGGUUUUACAGGGAUCCCCUGGGUCAGAUAUAUGCAUAAUAGGUCACCAAAGGGUGGCAUGUGAGGGCUCUACUGAGAGACCGUAGCCCAAUGGUCAUCAUAAUUAUUGUGAAAUGUAUGUAAAAACAAUAUUUAAGGAGUGAUGUGUCUCUACUAAAAAUUACGUUCCUACGGUCUUGGAAUUAAUGCAGAUCACUAGGAGGUGACAUACCUCGGAUAUGUUCUUUUCAGGGAGGAGGUAACAGAGACUUAUAUCUCUGUCUGGUCAAGUGUGUAUUGUGCAUUGUCUGCCUCAUAAUGGAGACCUAUCUGCAGACAGCGCCAGGUGCCAUUCAAGAGACUGCAAAAUCUGCCAGAAAGAAAAUCUCCAGGAAGAAACAAAACAGCAGGGUGGUGUUCUGUUUAUGAAGAAGACAAAUAAUGGAAGUUGUAUAUCGUGGGGAGCAAAGGAACACACUAGGUCCUUCACUAAGGAGGCAAGCUAAAAGGGUGUUUGUCUUAUGAAAGGAGGCACUCAGACAGCCUGGCUGUUACACACUGCAAGGAUUUUGGAUAUUCUGCAAGACAUGGAAGUAUCAUGCUAAUAAAGUCUAGGCUGUAGGAUGCAUGUUAUAAUUUUGUUUUAUAUGUAAUAAUUUGUUUCCAAUACUUCUACUUGCUAUUACUUGAAACUCUGUGCUUUGUUCAAUAAACUUAUACUUGAUUUCACUAUAAA